GGACAUGCAGCUGGUAGCUCCUCUGCUCCUUCCCAUCAACAUCCUCGCUCCCUGCCUUGCCACACUUUUCCAGUGCUCAUGCCUCCCUGACCCAUCUUCACCCCUUUCCUGGAGUCUGUGUUCAUUCCCCUGGCAUCUGAUGAUGUAUCUUGGCAGGUCCUGCAAGGUGGUCCUGCGAUCCCCUUCCAACAUUGUGAAGUAAAUUUGCUCUUGCUUGCAAGACCCUUCCUGAUAACCAACCAUGAUCGUGUACCUCAUAGAGGCAGUGGAGGCCAGAGGUUAAUGACACUGCUGGCUUUGACUUGAAUUGUCUUGUUCACUGACACUUGGUGCCCCUCAGACAAGGACAGUGUUGUGUUUGGGCUUCAUCUGUCUGGGAGCGAUGGGACUUCUUAACAGUUUGGGAUAUCAGUUUAACCUGUGACUUCAGAGGAGUUCAGCCAAAUGUCUCUGUGCUGUUCAGUUAAAACUUGUAAGCUUGAUACGACCUGGAGGUCUUUUUUUAAAGUACCUGAGGCUUGUAUACAUUUUGAGUUAUGAAUAGCCAACUAUGAAUAUAUUGAUAUGCUAUUAAUAAUCUGAAGUUAUGGAUAAUCUGCAGGUGUUCAUGCUAAACAAGCUCCAGUUCCCACAGAGCUAUCCAGUAGUGGAAUCUUCCACCGCGUUUUGUGAUUGUCUGAAGAUUUCUGUAGGAGGAAAUAGUCCCCAUCUCAAUUGAAUGUUUUGUAAUGAAGAUUGUCCAAACCGUAGUGCUUAUAAGGGUCCUGUUUUAAAUACAGAUGUCAUUGUGGGAGGCUGCCAUUAGGGAUUAACUGUGUUCACCAUCUCUGAACAGCAGAAUGGUGCUGAUGUGGUACAAUGCACUUUGCCUGCUGGAUUUCAAAGGUGGGACAGGCAGUGAAACCUGGUUUCACCUGGUGUGGAGGAUACUUAUUCCAGAUACACCUACUUUAAAUCCUCACCUGUAAAAGAUGCAGUAGGGUUGUCUAAGUUGUGUUAUGAGGACCGUGAGGUCAUCAGUUUGUGUCCCUUACUUCUAGCCUAGAUAAUGGCACUUGGUGCCAAGUUCAGAGAUGUAUAUGAUGGAUGUGUGCUGAUGGGCAUCUCUGCUAUAUUAUGCCAACUCUGGAAGUGUGACAGACCCUGCUGGUAGUAACAUCCAUCACACAAGGUGGGAGUGAUUUUUUAAGAACAAGGAGCAAACUGCACGAAAGUAGAGGUUACCUACUGUCCUAAAACUGAAGAUGUAAUGGGACCUCAUUUUUUUAAUAUUGCCUGUUAGUAUAUUUAAAAUUACAAGCCAGACUAUUAGCUUUCUAGUAUCCUAUCAUACAUGAGUGUCACAUCUUGUUACAAACAUCAGUGACCUAUAAAGAUCAGUAAUGAUGAUGAUCAAUUCUUAUGCCACACAAACAGCAAGUUCUUAUAAUGUAAAUUAAACAAUGCAGCAAAAUAAAUCUAUUAGUUUUGUCUUUCCCUUCUGCUAAAACAAAAAA
rnacentral:lncRNA from 1 species